AAAGAGUCUGUAGGUUGAUAUAUAAGUCUUGUGUUAAAGAUUAGGGCUUAACCUUAAAUAUGCAUAAGAAACUAUAUAUCUAGAGUAUGGUAGAGUUUAAAGGAAUUUCCAGUGGAGCGGUGAAAUGUGUAGAGAUUGGAAAGAACUUCAAUAGCGAAAGCAUUUAAAUUGGCCAAUACUGACACUGAGAGACGAAAGCUAGGGGAGCAAACAGGAUUAGAUACCCCGGU
rnacentral:rRNA from 1 species